GGAGGGUGCAAGCGUUGUUCGGAAUUACUGGGCGUAAAGAGCGUGUAGGCGGUUUGGCAAGUCAGAUGUGAAAGCCCUGGGGCUCAACCCAGGAAGUGCAUUUGAAACUGCCAUUCUAGAGUAUGGGAGAGGAGAGUGGAAUUCCCGGUGUAGAGGUGAAAUUCGUAGAUAUUGGGAGGAACACCCGUGGCGAAGGCGACUCUCUGGACCAAUACUGACGCUGAGACGCGAAAGCGUGGGGAGCAAACAGGAUUAGAUACCCUGGUAGUCCACGCCGUAAACGAUGAGAACUAGGUGUAGCGGGUAUUGACCCCUGCUGUGCCGUAGCUAACGCAUUAAGUUCUCCGCCUGGGGAGUACGGUCGCAAAGGCUA
rnacentral:rRNA from 1 species